UACAGAGGGUGCAAGCGUUGUUCGGAAUUAUUGGGCGCAAAGCGCGUGUAGGCGGCAGUGCAAGUCGGGUGUGAAAGCCCUCAGCUCAACUGAGGAAGUGCGCCCGAAACUGCAUUGCUUGAGUACCGGAGAGGAUGGCGGAAUUCCCGAAGUAGAGGUGAAAUUCGUAGAUAUCGGGAGGAACACCGGUGGCGAAGGCGGCCAUCUGGACGGAUACUGACGCUGAGACGCGAAAGCGUGGGUAGCAAACAGG
rnacentral:rRNA from 1 species